rnacentral:RNase_P_RNA from 1 species
CAAGUAGAGAGGGUGAUCGCCUUUCGGGCUUGACCCGGAAGGAGGAAAGUCCGAGCACCACAGGGCAGCGUGCUUCCUAACGGGAAGGGGGGGUGACCCUACGGAAAGUGCCACAGAAAAUAUACCGCCUGAGACUUCUCAGGUAAGGGUGAAAAGGUGGGGUAAGAGCCCACCGCUUCGAUGGUGACAUCGAGGGCACGGUAAACCCCACGCGGUGCAAGGCCAAAUAGGCUCCGUUGCAACCUGGCCCGGUUCAUCCACCGUUCAUUCGGUGGAUGCGGAGCGGGUGAGCCGCUUGAGGAUUGGGGCGACCCAAUUCCUAGACGAAUGAUCACCGCCCUGCAAAGGGUUACAGAACUCGGCUUACAUCUCUGCUUGCCGG